GGGGAAUAUUGGACAAUGGGCGCAAGCCUGAUCCAGCCAUGCCGCGUGUGUGAUGACGGCCUUAGGGUUGUAAAGCACUUUCGCCGAUGAAGAUAAUGACUGUAGUCGGAGAAGAAGCCCCGGCUAACUUCGUGCCAGCAGCCGCGGUAAUACGAAGGGGGCUAGCGUUGUUCGGAAUUACUGGGCGUAAAGCGUACGUAGGCGGAUUGUUAAGUGAGGGGUGAAAUCCCGAGGCUCAACCUCGGAACUGCCUUUCAUACUGGCAAUCUUGAGUCCGGGAGAGGUGAGUGGAAUUCCUAGUGUAGAGGUGAAAUUCGUAGAUAUUAGGAAGAACACCAGUGGCGAAGGCGGCUCACUGGCCCGGAACUGACGCUGAGGUACGAAAGCGUGGGGAGCAAAC
rnacentral:rRNA from 1 species